CUCUCCCCGACCUAUCGAUCUCUCCGUCAGGAGUCUGGACCAAGAAGAUGUCGCCCCCCUUCCCGACCCCGAUUCCAGUAGCCGCUGCCAUGACACAGCCUCCUACGGGUAGUGCACAACGAUGUGGGGGUCCGCCUCGGUCACGAUCCCAUCAUUUAGCGCCUCUGCUUCCUCUACCUCACGCACAGUGACGUCGACGAGACGGAGAUUCUUGGUGCGAGGGGAUCCCCAGAAAACCAAGGAGGUGUGCCCCACCCCCCUUCAUGUGGUAAAUUGGGCGAUGCACUCCUAGUGACUUGGUGAGGGAGUAUAAACCGGCAGGAGUCCGACGAUGGAGAGGGAUGCAGUGCCUGAGGACUGGGAGGGAGAGAUGGGGGCGAUGGAUUUGCUGGAAAUUCAUGCGAAUGCCUUCGCCGGUAGCUGUCGAUAUGGCCGGCGCCAGCACGGCCAUCAACAAAGUUUGGUUUCUCUUUGGCGUCAUGAGCACACCCCUUCUGCCUGUUCCAUCCCUGCAUCUCAGCGUUAAGGGCACGCACUCGCCGCACUCCUGCUCGAAUGUCCAAUUGAACAAAGAAGGAGCUCCUAGCAGAAUGUUGGUGGUUUAGGAUUAUGUGUUAUUGGACAAGAGUGAUCAUCCCAUUGAGUAGAAAUGUUAUUUUGAUAAUCAUUUGUAGGAUUGUCCCAUGAAUUAUUUUCGCACAAAAAUGAUUUCUGUCUUGAAGUAGAAAUGAUGUUCCCUAAUUGGUAACAGACUGGAGAAGAAUGUCUACAUAAACAAAGUAUGCAAUGUGUCUUUGGCUUUUUCAGUCUGCCAUGUUUUAGCUUCAUAUGAAACAAAAUGCCAUUCUAAUAUUGCCUAAAUGGGGAUGAAGAAGGGGCUCCUAGCAGAGGCCCACGGUGAGACUGCAGUGCGGCCAGGCCAGUUUUUGGAGGCAUUAUUAAAGCUAUUGGUGCUUGCUGGUGAAUUUUUCUUGCAGAGGUCGCUCUCAUGUUACAUUGCAAUCUGCCAUCUCUAGUACUAGAGCAAAUAAAACAGGUAACAUUCCAUAUUUAAACAAUUCUGAACAUGCUUGAUGGCUAUGAUAGCUUAUCAGAAAUUUUGAUUGUCGUGUAUGUACUUGAAUUAAGACUACAAGAUUCUUCUGAACAAGGAUUUGUUUAGAAUCAAAUAAUGUGGUGCCCGCAUCAAACUAGACAUUUGUAGCUCAUAUGGAAGAUUAUGUUGUUUUGUCUCUCGAUGUGUGGCUUUCCUUCUGAUUGUUCUUUUGAACCAGCCCUAACCAUAUCCAGUUAUAUUGAGAGCUGAAAAACAUCAGGUCAUGUGGCUUUGCUUGUCCAUUUUUUUUACUCAGCUUAUGUUCACGCUUUCUUCCACUGAGGCUUCCAUAACCCUAAUAAUCUACGCAUUUUUAUUGAUGAGUUGAAUCCUGCCAUUACUUAGACAAGCUAAGAUAUUUUUAUUUUCCAUGUUUGAAUGUUAUAUGUAUCUUAAACACCCAUGAUGCAGGGUUGUGAUGGUAAGCCAAAGCCAUAUUGGUGAGUGGCUGAUAAGACAAAAGGCAAUAAAUGCUUAUUCAAUUUCUUGCUUUUAUGUAGGUGGGAAAAUCUUAAUAUGCGAUUAAUCAGGUGCUAGAAGUGUGGCCUCAUCCCAUUUUUGGGUUUAUUUCACUUAAACAACCAUGAAGUAGUAUAUAUGUGCAUCAUCAGCAACCAAGCACCUCAUUCUUCAGGCAACGCAGGCCAUCAGGGUUCUAGUAGAGCUUCAUAAUCGAGGUGCCUAAGAGCACACAUCUUACAUUCGAAGUUGAUCCCCACAAAUUCGUGAGAGAGUAGGCUUAAUCUCUAGGUGUUUGGGUGGUUUGUAUCCUUGUGAGGAUGUUUGCAUCCUAUACAAGUUCUUGUAAAUGUCUUUCUGCCUUCAACUACAUGAUCAUGAUCAACACCAUCACCCAAGGUAUGUUAUUCCAUCUUAGAGAAGCUUUACUCCAAGUCAUGAGUCAAUGCAACUCGACAAGAUGCGAAUACAUCAAGAUGCUUAAACGAAAAAUGGUAACCCCAUUUUGAGCUUAAACGAUGAGUA